rnacentral:piRNA from 1 species
UGCUUAGUAGUUAGUGUUGGGCUUUUGUU